CUACGGAGGGGGUUAGCGUUGUUCGGAAUUACUGGGCGUAAAGCGUACGUAGGCGGAUUGGAAAGUAUGGGGUGAAAUCCCAGGGCUCAACCCUGGAACUGCCUCAUAAACUCCCAGUCUAGAGUUCGAGAGAGGUGAGUGGAAUUCCGAGUGUAGAGGUGAAAUUCGUAGAUAUUCGGAGGAACACCAGUGGCGAAGGCGGCUCACUGGCUCGAUACUGACGCUGAGGUACGAAAGUGUGGGGAGCAAACAGGAUUAGAUACCCCUGAGUCC
rnacentral:rRNA from 1 species